rnacentral:rRNA from 1 species
CGUGUGUCCCUAUUUUGUUGGUUUCUAGGGACUCCGUAAUGAUUAAUAGGGAUAGUCGGGGGCAUCAGUAUUCAAUUGUCAGAGGUGAAAUUCUUGGAUUUAUUGAAGACUAACUACUGCGAAAGCAUUUGCCAAGGAUGUUUUCAUUAAUCAGUGAACGAAAGUUAGGGGAUCGAAGACGAUCAGAUACCGUUGUAGUCUUAACAGUAAACUAUGCCGACUAGGGAUCGGGCGAUGUUAUCUUUUUGACUCGCUCGGCACCUUACGAGAAAUCAAAGUUUUUGGGUUCUGGGGGGUGUAUGGUCGCAAGGCUGAAACUUAAAGGAAUUGACGGAAGGGCACCACCAGGAGUGGAGCCUGCGGCUUAAUUUGACUCAACACGG